GACGAACGCUGGCGGCGUGCCUAAUACAUGCAAGUCGAGCGGACCGAACGAGGGCUUGCUCUUGUUUGGUCAGCGGCGGACGGGUGAGUAACACGUGGGCAACCUGCCCGCAAGACCGGGAUAACUCCGGGAAACCGGAGCUAAUACCGGAUAACACCGAAGACCGCAUGGUCUUCGGUUGAAAGGCGGCCUUUGGGCCGGCACUUGCGGGUGGGCCCGCGGCGCAUUAGCUAGUUGGUGAGGUAACGGCUCACCAAGGCGACGAUGCGUAGCCGGCCUGAGAGGGUGACCGGCCACACUGGGACUGAGACACGGCCCAGACUCCUACGGGAGGCAGCAGUAGGGAAUCUUCCGCAAUGGGCGAAAGCCUGACGGAGCGACGCCGCGUGAGCGAAGAAGGCCUUCGGGUCGUAAAGCUCUGUUGUGAGGGACGAAGGAGCGCCGUUCGAAGAGGGCGGCGCGGUGACGGUACCUCACGAGAAAGCCCCGGCUAACUACGUGCCAGCCGCCGCGGUAA
rnacentral:rRNA from 1 species